rnacentral:ncRNA from 2 species
AAGACUUUUUAAAUAAAUGCAGAUUUAAUUGUUGGAAUAUGGCCAACGAGUCUCUACCACCGACCAAAUUCGGUGACAAUCCGCAAAUGUCCUUCUAUG